CCUUAAAUCGCUACUCUGCUGGUACUUAGCAUAAAAGAUAGAAGAAUGUAACUGUUCUCCUGACCUUACAGUUUUACAAGGAACAGCAAUUCACAGAGAAAAUAAUGUUUAUGAUGAUGCACAUAAUUGACAUAAAUAAAGCCAUUGACAAAGAAUGAGAAAACAUGAGAUGGAACAUACCAGAAAUAUGAAUAAAGGAAGAGGAACUGACUGAUGUGCUGCAAAACCUUUCAAGAUGUACUCAGUGGUAAUAAGUCAGCGAUCAUCCUCAGAAAGUCAAUAAUAAAGACAGCUGAAUGAAGAAUAACAUGAUGACCUCAGGGUCUGAGCUGAGAGAUGAAAUAAACUGUGAUCUGCAAAUGGAAGACAUGAAAAAAUGGGCAAAAUACACUGAGGCACGUGGCCCUUAUGUGAGUCUCAACUCCUUCACUAGGAAUCUGAGUCAUCUCCAGAGCUGAAGCCUAGGGACUAGAGCUAGGCAAGUUAGCCACCUUAAAUACUAGCAGUCUGAAAUGUGGAAGUCACACAGUUCAGGGCCUUCUAUUAAAAUUACUUUUAGAUAGGUAGGGAUAACAAACAUUAUGUCUCAUUAUGUCCAUCUUUCUCAACGUGUAAAUCUGGAUUCUGUGCUGUUUGUCACAGGAAGAACGCUUAAGACACGUGAUCUACAGAAGUAUCUUCUGCAAAUAUUUGAUAAUUUCAGGAUUCCCAGACAGCCGCAGUCUUUACUGUUCAGCAGUUCAACAUCAGUCUCUGCUGGCCAUGGAACUUUAAAUUAAUACUUGCUCAGCUGUCUGUGAUGUAGGACAGUCAAGUAUCAGUAACUGCAGUCCAGCUAGCUGCCUGUUUUUUCCCCAUCUCUCCCAGAGUCAGAAUUUUUCUUCUGCUUUGAUGUAGAUUUUAAAAACAAAUACAUCAUAGCCUGACAGACAUCAUUCUACCAGCCCAACCUCCCACUUCCUCCUCCCGCCUUUCUGACAUUUCAGUUCUUUGUUUUCUGAUUUCCUGACACCUUUAAGCUCUGAGCUAAAGUCUACCUUUGCAUAGGCACCCCUGCCAAGAAAACAUGGAUUUCUUAAACUUCAUUUGCCAUUAUUGAAGCAUUUGGUCUCUAUCCAGAAGGAAACUGUGCAUAACAUUUGAUUGUUGUCAGUUUGCUUCUGUCUGUGUGGAAGAUUUUCAUGCAGUGUUUGGCUUUAGAAGGUUUGUUUGAGCUUAAGGUGCUGAAGUUUUGCUAACCAAUUCAGCAAGGGAAAAAAGCCUGGGCUCAGUGACAAGAAACAGGUCAGAACAGCUUCAAUCGAAGGCAGAGAGGGGAAUGUUUGAAUCACUGGAUUAGGAGCCAGACUCGACUGAGGGAUUUUUAAUUGGUUGGUUUCUGUUUAUCUUUUCUGUUCUAUAUCAUAUUUUCUUCAUUGUAUCAUAGUCUGGCAUAGAAGUAUAAAUGGACGCGACAGAAGCACAGAAAAUGUGAAGUGACAUAAGUAUUGCAGUACAAUACUUACCAGAAGAAUCAAAAUCAAGGAUGCAUUAUCUUCACAUGGGAUUAACUGCUUUGGAACCUAGAGUUAGUUCAGCAAAAUGAAAUUACUAACAAGGAAUGUGUUAUGUGGGAAAUGCAUUCUUUGACACACUACAUUUUUGUCAAGUAUUCUUUCCUCUAUUGAAGUGUAGCAUGCCAGCUUUGCCCUCACUCUCUAGCAGAUGAUUUGUUCUGUAGUCUGAAGAUGGUUUAAUGACAAGAGCAGUAACUCUGGUGUUAAAGGUACGCAAUUAGAUUCUGCAUAAAG